GACGAACGCUGGCGGCGUGCUUAACACAUGCAAGUCGAACGGAAAGGCCCUGCUUUUGUGGGGUGCUCGAGUGGCGAACGGGUGAGUAACACGUUAGUAACCUGCCCUUGACUUUGGGAUAACUUCAGGAAACUGGGGCUAAUACCGGAUAGGAGCUCCUGCUGCAUGGUGGGGGUUGGAAAGUUUCGGCGGUUGGGGAUGGACUCGCGGCUUAUCAGCUUGUUGGUGGGGUAGUGGCUUACCAAGGCUUUGACGGGUAGCCGGCCUGAGAGGGUGACCGGCCACAUUGGGACUGAGAUACGGCCCAGACUCCUACGGGAGGAAGCAGUGGGGAAUAUUGCACAAUGGGCGGAAGCCUGAUGCAGCAACGCCGCGUGCGGGAUGACGGCCUUCGGGUUGUAAACCGCUUUCGCCUGUGACGAAGCGUGAGUGACGGUAAUGGGUAAAGAAGCACCGGCUAACUACGUG
rnacentral:rRNA from 1 species